GCACUCUGUUAUCUGCGCUUCUUUUUCUGCUGGUUCCUUAAGAACCGAAUGAAAUGGCCCGUAUACGUUGUACCAGAUAUCUUUACUCAUAAUUAAACUGUCACUUGUCAUACAAUAGACCACCUUGUCUGAAUCGAUCCUUGACCGGCUCACCCUCCUACAUAUCCCAUUAUUAACAGAAACUUGGUAGCAGAGGGAUGGUUUACUAACGACCCAGUCCAGAGUGGUUGAUGUGGGUGUGAGGGGGCGAGUUGGUGAAAGGACGGUUCCCGGAGGACAGGUGAAAACCAUUCGGGGGUGGACAACAAUUCUGCUCAACUCGGGAAACUGAUCUCUGGUCGACCACAAAAUAAGCUCUCUCCAAACAGAUACACCGUGUCGCAGAGAGGGAGCUGACUGACGUCCCGGAACAACCAAGGGUAAAAGUUGGGGACUGGGUAAGGAUCAAGGUCCACAAGAGAAAGUGGGCUGAUCCCAGGUGGACUGGACCGUACGAAGUGAAGGAGGUUACUUCACACUCAGUCCAGGUCAAAGGUAAAUUAGGCGCACCUUGGCACCACCUGACACAUUGUACACCAGCCCCAACCCCUGCCAGAACUCUGGCUGAAGUAAGAAGUGAUUUACUCACAUCCAAUUCGAAUUCAAAUUCUGACAUCCCUCCCGUCUGAUCAUGUGGAGGAGACUCCCAUCCUCAGAUGAUAGGGACACUAGAGUAGCACCAUGGGCUAGAAGGGCUAGGAGACCAUGGGAAAGACUGGGUUGUUCUGGCCCAUUGUUUGUCCUAAUUAUAGUCAAUGUUGUUUUGACAUUGGGAGUAAUGAUAUGGGCAGCCCAGCGUAUAAUCACUGACCAGGAACAGACUACCCAGCUAAACAUCACCAAUGCUUCAAUAUUCUCGGAUACGCAUGUUCUAAACGUCAAGUUCAGAAUAAUGACUUUGAGUGUACUGCAGAAUUGAUUAGGUCAGCUACUCUGUGUAUCCCGCCUAACGCUACUACCACUGUUAUACUUACCUGGGGUGUUAUUGGAAGCCCAGGUGGCGGUUAUGGUACUCAUGCAAUCAGUUGGUCUAGAUCAGUGUGGUACAUGACAGAAGGGGGGUAUAAUAAAUGGACGUGGAAGAAUUUAGUGGCAGAGACUGGUCCUGACUGGUCUAGCUGGACAGUGCAUCAGAUGGCACUCCUGUGGCGGAGCAGGUUGACGUUAACUAAAGUUACAACUGGUUUGAAAUUGGUAAUCAAACACAGGGAAGGUGGUAUGACUUAUGACCUCCAUUGUAACUUUCCUUUGUGGUCUGAUCAGCCUCAUUGGAAAGCCAUUUGGAUGGAGAAUCUAGGGUAAUUUGUAAUACUGAUAUUAAGGUAAUUUAAUACAAAAAGGCAGUGAAAUUUACAUUAUAGUGUCAUUAUAUUUUCUCUGAUGAACGUGGUGUGAAAAUUUAGCUAGGAUAAGUUUUAUUUAUGGUAGACUCAUGUUAAGUAUUUGGGACAUAUUUUGAGCAAACAGGGCAGGGAAGAAAUUGAGAUAUUUGUGUUUGGUUUUAACACCUGUAUAUAGGGGGUGCCAUUUGAAUAUUUAAUUUGUGGUCAUGGGUAAUACGGUUUGUUUUUGUUUUUAUUUUUUAAGGUAAAUUAAUUAUAGUGGGGUUUAAUUAACCUAUAUAAGGACUUUAGUAAGUGCCACCAUAGACAUGUUUUUCUAAAAAAAAAAAUCCA